AGGACUAACGCUGGCGGCGUGCCUAACACAUGCAAGUCGAACGAGGUAGCAAUACCUAGUGGCAGACGGGUGAGUAACACGUAGUCAACCUUCCCGAUAGUGGGGGAUAACUAGCCGAAAGGUUAGCUAAUACCGCAUACGAUCUUCGAGUGGCAUCAUUUGAAGAUGAAAGGAGCAAUCCGCUUUCGGACGGGACUGCGUCCCAUUAGCUAGAUGGUGGGGUAAUGGCCUACCAUGGCAACGAUGGGUAGCUGGUUUGAGAGAGCGACCAGCCACACUGGGACUGAGAAACGGCCCAGACUCCUACGGGAGGCAGCAGUGAGGAAUUUUCCGCAAUGGGCGAAAGCCUGACGGAGCGACGCCGCGUGUGGGAAGAAGGCCUUCGGGUCGUAACCACUGUCGAAGGGGAAAUACUGAUGGUACCCUUGGAGGAAGCCCCGGCUAACUACGUGCCAGCAGCCGC
rnacentral:rRNA from 1 species